rnacentral:lncRNA from 1 species
CCCAUCAAACAUUACAACUUCCUAUACUCUCUCUCUCUAAAAUCGUUUGAACCAAGCACACCACCAUCUUCACAUUUUCAAAAUUCAAACACUAGAGAUUAUUGCAAGUAUGGAGGUCCAUGGAUGAAUCAAACUACUAGGGUGUUUAGAAAAGCUAGUUGGAGCUCUUUUGGUGGAACUUAAAGCCUAAAAUCAUCAAAAUUUCUUAUCAUCAUCUUUGUUUCCUUGCAAAAUUUGAGAUUAGUGGACGGCUAUGGAAAAAUAUGUUCAAGUGGUUAUCAAGAACGCAAGCUUUUGUGAUUUAA